CACGUAGGAGGCGAGCGUUGUCCGGAAUCAUUGGGCGUAAAGAGCGCGCAGGCGGCUUGGCAAGUCGGGUGUGAAAUCCCGGGGCUCAACCCCGGGACUGCAUUCGAUACUGUCAGGCUAGAGGUAGGUAGGGGAGAUCGGAAUUCCUGGUGUAGCGGUGAAAUGCGCAGAUAUCAGGAGGAACACCGGUGGCGAAGGCGGGUCUCUGGGCAACAACUGACGCUGAGGAGCGAAAGCGUGGGGAGCGAACAGG
rnacentral:rRNA from 1 species